rnacentral:rRNA from 1 species
CAGCCGCCGCGGGAAUACGUAGGUGGCAAGCGUUGUCCGGAAUUAUUGGGCGUAAAGGGCUCGCAGGCGGCUUCUUAAGUCUGAUGUGAAAGCCCCCGGCUCAACCGGGGAGGGUCAUUGGAAACUGGGAAACUUGAGUGCAGAAGAGGAGGGUGGAAUUCCACGUGUAGCGGUGAAAUGCGUAGAGAUGUGGAGGAACACCAGUGGCGAAGGCGACUCUCUGGUCUGUAACUGACGCUGAGGAGCGAAAGCGUGGGGAGCGAACAGGAUUAGAUACCCGCGUAGUCCCUGUCUCUUAUAC